rnacentral:lncRNA from 10 species
GGAUUUAACUGUUAAUACAGGCAGUUGUCCUUGUCCUUGUCUUAAAAAGCCUUGUCCUUCCGGAGCCACACCUUCAUGACGGCAGACGGUGUUUUUGUCCUGCACACCUGUUGGGAUGUUGGUGUGAGGGUUACACAGACAGCCUAUAUUAAGUAUUUUUAGAGACAAGGAAUUCACUACCUCCUGCGGCAGGCAUUAUCAAGCUCUGGGCUUUAAAAGUUCUUCCUUUAUUAAGAUAAAAUCUGUCCCCCACCUUAAAAGAAUUCUAGUAGGUGCCUGUUAGAGAAGAUGCUUUGCCAGAGGCAUAGUUAUUAUACAGUCAUAAUUAUUUAAUAAGAGAAACUGGCUGCUAUGUCACAGAAUAGACGGGAACAGAAAUGAGCUGGGAACUGCGGAAGGAAGGGCAGCUGGCCUGAGAAAUGUGGAGAAUGAGGUUCCGUACCUUGAGAGUUCAAGAGGAAAAAGCUGCCCUACACCCAGAGUGAAUAAAUACUAGGAGAGAGGAAGGGACAGAGCUUUGGGUCUGGGCAGAGUCAGAUACCAGGACCACAGUGCAAACGGGACUGGCUUGUUCCUUGAGAAGUGGCUGUGUGUCUUCCAGGAAGUUGCAUUCCUAGGAAAUUUGCUGAACGAACAAGUGCUAAGAACUGAAAACGCUAGGCCAAAAGGAUGGGGUCUCUUUAGGCUGGGGUUAUCCCUCCUCAAGGAACCAUGGCAAGCGUUACUGUCAACUCUGCAGUGGCAUCUUUCGUACUCUGUUGGGCUGUCUUCAACAGUGCCACCACGUGGGAGCAGGACGCCACGGCAGGAGGGGAACACGCGGGCCUUCUGUCUGCAUUUGCCUGGUGCUCUCCCAAUUAUGUAAACUUCAUGCUCCAUGAAACCACCUGGCCACCAUCAUGACUACUGGGAAUAAAACAGUCAAGACCUGGCUCUUUGCCUGAAGGAUCUCACAGGGCACAGGGCCAGCCUGAUACAGAAGCCAACAAUUACAGUGUCACCAGGAAGCACAAGGCCAUCACCUCACUUCCUAUCCCCAGCUCAUUUUUUUUCUAUUCAGAGAUGACUUUUUGGGAGCACAGCCUACCCUGCUUACUCUCACAGUGCUUCCAGCCCUCAUUCUCUCUCUCUCAUUGUAGGUAUUCUCUGACUUCCCUCCUCCUCACCACACUCAAACCUCAGAAUUCAUCCCACUUUGUUGUGAGAGGCACUUGUGUACCCUUUCUGACUGUACUAGGCUGUCCUGGUUAUAUCCUCUGGGUUUCUUUUUCCAUACCUGUAGACAAGUCUUAAAGUUAUUUUUCCAAAAAAGCAUGAUUCUUUCCAGAAGAGGAAUUAGGCCAUUUGCUUUAAAAUAACAGUUUAUUAUUCCUCCUCAACUUGGUCUAUCUCUGACUCCUUCCCUCCUCCUGCCAUCCCAGUGAGCUGUGUUCUCUUACACAUUUGAUAAAAUGAUUAGGAAAUAUCAAGAACACAUAGGAAGAUUUAAAGGACUUAGGAUCUCAUUGGCUGUGAGAAAAGGGAACUCUCUCUAAUCCCUGCCCUGCGUGUGGUGCUGGUCUGGGUCCUGUGGUGGGAGUGAGAAGUGAUUAUGGAGGAGCAGCGCCUUCUCUACUGGGCCAACUCUUCAGGAACAAAGGCUUUGUCUCAUUCUUUUCUGUAGCCAACAUGCUUGAUGGCUCAAAUUCAAUAAGUAUCUGCUGACAUGGGGAGAGGGAAGGAGGGAUGUGUUAACACUGAAAUUACUUCAUUUUAUAAAAGAAAUUGUCCAAAACCUUUCUGUGUACUAAUUUCAAAGGAGUUUCCCCAUUUUCUAUUGCACAUUCUCCUUCUCUCAGGCUUCAUGGAAGAUGUGUUAGUCUACCUGCUCAAAGCCAACUUCUCCAUCUGUGCCUUUGACCCCAGACUUCUUGGUCUUCUAGACUAAGUCUUCUAGAAAGUUAGCUUCAAUAAUCAUCUUUCCAAUAAUCAUCUUCCUGAUUUCAGGUUGCAGCCUCUCUCUCUCCUAUCUCUUUCUGCUCAGCCUGUGACCGUACUUAAGUUUCUCCCAUCCUAAAAGACACACAUAUGUGCACACACACACACACACACACUCCUUGACCAUCUGAGUCAUCCAUAAGCUCGCCUUUCUUGCUUUCUUGUUCUUGUUCUUUUUUUUUUUUUUUGAGACAGGGUCUCUCACUCUGUCACCCAGGCUGGAGUGCAGUGGCAUGAUCUUGGCUCACUGCAGCCUCGACCUCCCAGACUUAAGUGAUCCUCCCACUGCAGCCCCACCCCAAGUAGCUGGGACUACAGAUGUGCACCACCACACCUGGCUGUUUUAUAUUUUGUGAAGAUGGGGGUCUCACUGUUACCCAGACUGAUCUCCACCUCCUGAGCUCAAGCAAUCCUCCUGCCUUGGCCUCCCAAAGUGCUGGGGUUACAGGCAUGAGCCACCACACCUGGCCAGCUUGCCGUUUUUCUGCAUUUGCUUUCUCUACUGCCUUAUUUGGAAUUUAUCCAUAUUCAUCCAUUAAUUGAAACUUAUCUGAUGAAGGUCGCCAAUGACCAAUUUCCAAAUUGAUUAGACACUUUCAGUAUUUAUCUUACUUCCCAGCCUCAUAACAGCAUGAGACACUGAUGAUCCUCACUUCAUCCUUGAAACUCUUUCCUCUAUUGGCUUCCAUGACACUAAACUCUGCUACUUACUCUUGAGCCAGCUCAGGUCUACUCCUUCACGGCCAUGCAGCAAGGUGAUUUCUGUGAACAGGGCCUUUUAUUUUCCACAUCUUCUUUCUCUUUUUUGGGACAUUCUAUUUCAAUGUUCAAGCUAUGGUGCUACAGCUUAAGAGGGCCACUGACCACCUGCUGCUAUAAUAAAAGAAGAAUGAAUGUGAAUGGUAAGGCUGAAUCUGAGCUGUGUUGUAGCUGUGUUCAUGUCUGGAGGAAAAAGGGCUGAGUAUCCUGGAAGAGAAAAGAUAUCAUGGGGACUAAGAGGGGAGAGCAAAUGUGUCCUAAGCAGCUCUAAGCCAUUAAAUGAACAUUAAAUAGAAUCUUU